rnacentral:rRNA from 1 species
CCUACGGGAGGCUGCAGUGAGGAAUAUUGGUCAAUGGGCGGGAGCCUGAACCAGCCAAGUCGCGUGAGGGAAGACGGUCCUAUGGAUUGUAAACCUCUUUAGGCGGGGAGCAAUGCCGGGCACGUGUGCCCGGAGGGAGAGUACCCGCAGAAUAAGCAUCGGCUAACUCCGUGCCAGCAGCCGCGGUAAUACGGAGGAUGCGAGCGUUAUCCGGAUUUAGUGGGUUUAAAGGGUGCGUAGGCGGAUUUUAAAGUCAGCGGUAAAAUGUCCGGGCUCAACCCGGGCCGGCCGUUGAAACUGGGGAUCUUGAGUGGGCGAGAAGUAUGCGGAAUGCGUGGUGUAGCGGUGAAAUGCAUAGAUAUCACGCAGAACUCCGAUUGCGAAGGCAGCAUACCGGCGCCCGACUGACGCUGAGGCACGAAAGCGUGGGGAUCGAACAGGAUUAGAUACCCGGGUAGUC